GUGGAUUUGGAGAUACUGAAAUUGAGGUGUCUUUCGUUUCCAUGGAGAGGUCUUCUUCCCCUGUUAAUUCUUUGCAGCAGACAACUGUGUCUGGUGGUUCAGGAGUUGUUGGCCGAUCACGUAGAUUUAGAACCACACCAAGGAUGAGGGUUGGUAAUGGUCCAUGGCAUCAACUUGCUAGUAGAACUGGCAGUUAUCCUCCAAGGCAAACACAGAACAUCAUCGGUCAAAUUUGAUAUGGUUAAGAAGGGGUUCCGGUGAUUGCAACCCAUCGAUUCUCUGCUUGGUUUGAUCAGGGUACAAGUUCAGGUUACAUUAAUGGUGUUUCUUAACCAUCCGAGUGAUUAUACAUUAUUGAUGUUAGUUCUGCAAUUGAUUGGUGGUUUUAGUAUUUCUGUUGAUAAAGCCACAACAAUGUAUUUGUUCAACAAUAUGUACAGACAUUCUUUGCCAUAUCAUUGAGUUAUUCUUUUUCCCAAAUUGGAUGUGCCUAGUGUUGAGUGUUGCUCAGUUUGGCUACAUGAAAAGAAAUACUUUGUACACUCUUUGUUGAGAUAGGAUUAAUUCGUUACUGUUAUUUAAUUUUUUUUAUUAUUAUUUUGCAUUAUCAAGGGAACGGUUAAUUUGAUUAUAAACUUAAAUCAUCAAUUUUAUAAAAUAAAAUGCGAUUUGUCCUUGUAUUUUUAAAUGUCUGAUGAUGCUAACUUUUGCAUAGGUGUCUUUAAUGCCCGACGUAUGAGAUGAACAGUUUGGAUUAUUAGUGUAAGCUCGGUGGGGGGCCUAUAAGAAGAGUUUGGAUGGGUACGGAGAGAUGGAGUUUGUGAGAGAGCGGAACCGUUAGUUAAAUAGUUAAAUGGACAAACCUCAAUUUAAUUAUUGAUGCUUUGAGAAGUAAAAGUCAUUUGUUAACAAAUAUAACAAAGAACAUCCCCAUUUAUUUAAUUUUUUAUAUUUCUUUAAAAAAUGAGUUACUUAGAUUACGAAAAAAGGUCACUACAUACAAUUGAUUUGUUUGGGUCAAAAGUAAAUUUUUACAUUUUUUUGAGCUUGUAGUUCUAUAAUGAAAAUAAAAACAUUAAUUUCUUUUUAUCAAAUACUGUAAAAUAAAAGGCUUAGUAAUAAAUCUUUUUAAAAAUAAUAACCAAUCUUUUUUCAGUAACAAUUUGUAAAAGAAUUGUAAUUUACCCUAAUUUCUUAUCAAUGACUCUGAGGAGACAAAUUUAACAGGGGAAGGCAGUAUCAAUCAUCUCAGCAAUCCAAGGGGAGGCCUAAGUAAUUACUAAUAACCUCAGGGGUAGUCAGUGUAAUUUCUCCUAGUUUCUAAUGGAAACUACCUGCCGCUCCGUUUAAAAGAGUUUAGGGGCAACUCCAUCACCUCUAUAAACGCCGUUCCCUACCCUACCGCCCUAGUCCCCUUACCAUGGGCACUCCAAAUACAUACCUGCUGAAAGGACUGGAUAUACCCAGCCAAUCUAAUGAGCUGCUGCAUUUAGAUUGGCUGGGUAUUGGCUGAAAAGACUGAGUGGACCCCACAUUCAGCCAAUCCUAAUGCAUCAUCUCAUUAGGUGUGUAUUUAGGGUGCCGUUAGGUAUAUCAUAGCAUUUGCCCUUACCAAAUUCACCAUUGCGGCCAAGGAAUUGGCCUCUAUACUAUUCUCCUCUCGAGAAGUCUUUCGGAGAUUGUAUCAUAGUUUAUAAAAAAACUGAAUCGAAUCGGCCGUUCAACCGAAGCAUGAACCGUACGGUUCAUUAAUGUAAGAAAAAUGCAUGUGAACCGGAGUAAACCGUGUGCAACCGGCCGAUAUUUUUGAGAAAUCCAGUGAACCGACAGGUAUGUAGUAACCGAUCGAUUUUUAAAAAAAGUUAAAAAAAUAAAAACUUGCACAAGAUUUAAAAACCAUUUCGGUUUUUUACAAUAUGACUUUUAUUAUGAUUUUUUGAUGAAAAAAAAAUAAAAGUUUCAAAUGAAAGUCAAUAGAACAAAAAAAAAAAAAAAAAUACUAUUUAAUUAUAUAACGAUUAUCUCAUCUUUAAAAAUGAUCAUUUAUGAAAAUCCCACAAAAGAGAGAACAAAAAAAAAAAAAGAAAAAAACAAAAAAAAAAUUUAAUAACACACAGUUCUCUCUUUCCCUUACUCUUUGGGGUAUCUCACCUUUCAUAUAUUUUAUUAUAUUAUAAUUAAAUAUAUCGAGAUACUUAUUAUCAAAUAAUUAAUUCAAAUUGAAAAUAUAAACUAAAUUAAAAAAUAAAGAUAAAAAUAGGAGAUAUUGAAAAAAAUAAAAAAUAAAAGGGAACACAAAUAAUGCACAUUCUUAUCUUAAUAAUACCAGUAUUGAUAGUUUUAUGUUUUUUCAUUUUAAAUAUACAAAUAUCAAUAAGUAAUAGUUUAAAAAUCUUAACUUAAAAAACAUCAUCUUAAAUGUUUGUAUAAUUAUAUAUUUUUAGACUUUCUUUUAUAGAUAUUGUUAUUUAUACUUAUUUUGAAUAUUGUAGAAAAACUA
rnacentral:lncRNA from 1 species